CUAAGACAAAAAGUUUAACCUCAAAGUCUAUACAGAGGAAAGUUGAACUGUGUUCCAUCUUGCAGCUACAUUUACUUUUCAUAUUUGGAGUUUGUUAGCAUGCCUCCCUACAGUAUUCUCUAGACUGCCACAACUCAAAUCUUGCUGUAACUAAAAUAUGUCUUUUAAAUGAAGGGUUCAGCCUCGUGAUACAUCUACUGAGAAAAUAAACUCUUUGGCAUAAGGACAGCAAAAGGGACUCCUGAUAUUAGAACAGGUCUCCGGACAUCGUAGUGAUACAGACAACAGC
rnacentral:lncRNA from 1 species